rnacentral:tRNA from 2 species
GGCGUUGUAGCAAAGUGGUUACUGCGUUAGCCUCGAAUUUAGUGCAUAAGCGCCCCCAAGUUCAGCUAAUCCUCUUUGAGGGCGUAGGUUCGAAUCCUGCCAACGUCG